rnacentral:other from 1 species
ACUUCCUAAGCCGGAACGAAAAGUCUCACUGUAGCAAUACAUUGAAACUUUUGGCUUUGUGGUUGUGAUGUUGUGUUUGCAAGUUGUCUGGGAAUACCAGACUUUGUAGCUUAGGCUACUGUUUUUUUUCACUUCCUGUACAUUUACCCUGUCUGUCCAUAGUGAUUUUUUUAAUGCACCGCAAUUGCGGUGCUUUUUUUC